AGGCCUAUAGUGAAAUGGUUAUCACUGGGAUCUCCAAAAUCUCCAUUUGAGGUUCAAAUCCUCAUAGGCCUG
rfam:Candidatus Shapirobacteria bacterium CG2_30_35_20 cg2_3.0_scaffold_14377_c, whole genome shotgun sequence.